rnacentral:snRNA from 1 species
AUGGGCCAAGUUGGACGGU